GGUCCUAACCCUGUUAACUGUUGUCUGUUUUUUGCUUUUCCUUCAAUGACGAUUCCUGUGUUCCUUAUUCCAGUGUCAUUGGAUAACCAGGCCAUGCUGCACUACAUCCGAGAUAAAACUGCUGUUCCUUACUUCUCCAAUUUGGUCUGGUUCAUUGGGAGCCAUGUGAUCGAACUCGAUGACUGCGUGCAGACUGAUGAGGAGCAUCGGAAUCGGGGUAAACUGAGUGAUCUGGUGGCAGAGCACCUAGACCACCUGCACUAUCUCAAUGACAUCCUGAUCAUCAACUGUGAGUUCCUCAACGAUGUGCUCACUGACCACCUGCUCAACAGGCUCUUCCUGCCCCUCUACGUGUACUCACUGGAGAACCAGGACAAGGGAGGAGAACGGCCGAAAAUUAGCCUGCCGGUGUCUCUUUAUCUUCUGUCACAGGUCUUCUUAAUUAUACAUCAUGCACCGCUGGUGAACUCGUUAGCUGAAGUCAUUCUGAAUGGUGAUCUGUCUGAGAUGUACGCUAAGACUGAACAGGAUAUUCAGAGAAGUUCUGCCAAGCCCAGCAUUCGGUGCUUCAUUAAACCCACCGAGACACUCGAGCGGUCCCUUGAGAUGAACAAGCACAAGGGCAAGAGGCGGGUGCAAAAGAGACCCAACUACAAAAACGUUGGGGAAGAAGAAGAUGAGGAGAAAGGGCCCACCGAGGAUGCCCAAGAAGACGCCGAGAAGGCUAAAGGUACAGAGGGUGGUUCAAAAGGCAUCAAGACGAGUGGGGAGAGUGAAGAGAUCGAGAUGGUGAUCAUGGAGCGUAGCAAGCUCUCAGAGCUGGCCGCCAGCACCUCCGUGCAGGAGCAGAACACCACGGACGAGGAGAAAAGCGCUGCCGCCACCUGCUCUGAGAGCGCGCAAUGGAGCAGACCCUUCCUGGAUAUGGUGUACCACGCGCUGGACAGCCCGGAUGAUGAUUACCAUGCCCUGUUCGUGCUCUGCCUCCUCUAUGCCAUGUCUCAUAAUAA
rnacentral:sRNA from 1 species